GCCCCUAUCGUCUAGUGGUUUAAAGACUUCUCUUUUUAAAAGAGGCAACGGGGAUUCGAAUUCCUUUAGGGGU
rnacentral:tRNA from 1 species